rfam:Otolemur garnettii contig085506, whole genome shotgun sequence.
GCUGAGCAUGGUGGUAUGCACCAGUCUCCCAAGCUACUUGGGAGGCUGAAGUGGGAGGAUUGAUUGAGCCCAGGAGAUCUGAUGUGUGCUGUACUGAUCAGGUGUACUCACUAGGUUUAGCAUCAGUAUGGUGACCUCCUUUGAGCAGGGGGCCACCAGGUUGCCUAAGGAGGGGUAAACCAGCCCAGGUUGGAAACAGAACAGGUCAAAACUCCUGUGCUGGGCGGCACCCAUAGCUCAGUGGGUAGGGUGCCGGCCACAUACACUGAGGCUGGUGGGUUUGAACCCAGCCU